rnacentral:rRNA from 1 species
GACGAACGCUGGCGGCGUGCUUAACACAUGCAAGUCGAACGAUGAACCACUUCGGUGGGGAUUAGUGGCGAACGGGUGAGUAACACGUGGGCAAUCUGCCCUUCACUCUGGGACAAGCCCUGGAAACGGGGUCUAAUACCGGAUAACACUCUCGCAGGCAUCUGUGAGGGUUAAAAGCUCCGGCGGUGAAGGAUGAGCCCGCGGCCUAUCAGCUUGUUGGUGAGGUAAUGGCUCACCAAGGCGACGACGGGUAGCCGGCCUGAGAGGGCGACCGGCCACACUGGGACUGAGACACGGCCCAGACUCCUACGGGAGGCAGCAGUGGGGAAUAUUGCACAAUGGGCGAAAGCCUGAUGCAGCGACGCCGCGUGAGGGAUGACGGCCUUCGGGUUGUAAACCUCUUUCAGCAGGGAAGAAGCGAAAGUGACGGUACCUGCAGAAGAAGCGCCGGCUAACUACGUGCCAGCAGCCGCGGUAAUACGUAGGGCGCAAGCGUUGUCCGGAAUUAUUGGGCGUAAAGAGCUCGUAGGCGGCUUGUCACGUCGAUUGUGAAAGCCCGAGGCUUAACCUCGGGUCUGCAGUCGAUACGGGCUAGCUAGAGUGUGGUAGGGGAGAUCGGAAUUCCUGGUGUAGCGGUGAAAUGCGCAGAUAUCAGGAGGAACACCGGUGGCGAAGGCGGAUCUCUGGGCCAUUACUGACGCUGAGGAGCGAAAGCGUGGGGAGCGAACAGGAUUAGAUACCCUGGUAGUCCACGCCGUAAACGGUGGGAACUAGGUGUUGGCGACAUUCCACGUCGUCGGUGCCGCAGCUAACGCAUUAAGUUCCCCGCCUGGGGGAGUACGGCCGCAAGGCUA